rnacentral:rRNA from 1 species
GAAAUAACAAUACGGGGCUUAAUGUCUUGUAAUUGGAAUGAUGGGAAUUUAAACCUCUUCCAGAGUAUCAAUUGGAGGGCAAGUCUGGUGCCAGCAGCCGCGGUAAUUCCAGCUCCAAUAGCGUAUAUUAAAAUUGUUGCAGUUAAAAAGCUCGUAGUUGAAUUUCUGCUGCAUUGCUUUUGCUCCUUUACGAGUCUUUGCAUUGUGGCUUAUUUCGGACUUUGUUUUACAAUGUCCGGAUGUUUACUUUGAGAAAAUUAGAGUGCUCAAAGCAGGCUUUCGCCUUGAAUAGUUUAGCAUGGAAUAAUAAAGUAGGACUUUGGUUCUAUUUUGUUGGUUUUAGGUACCAAAGUAAUGGUUAAUAGGAACAGUUGGGGGCAUUCGUAUUUAAUCUG